rnacentral:rRNA from 1 species
AGAGUUUGAUCAUGGCUCAGGAUGAACGCUGGCGGCGUGCCUAACACAUGCAAGUCGAGCGAUUUACUUCGGUAAAGAGCGGCGGACGGGUGAGUAACGCGUGGGUAACCUGCCCUAUACACACGGAUAACAUACCGAAAGGUAUGCUAAUACGAGAUAAUGUAAGAGAUUCACAUGGAUUUCUUAUCAAAGCUGAGGCGGUAUAGGAUGGACCCGCGUCUGAUUAGCUAGUUGGUAAGGUAACGGCUUACCAAGGCGACGAUCAGUAGCCGACCUGAGAGGGUGAUCGGCCACAUUGGAACUGAGACACAGUCCAAACUCCUACGGGAGGCAGCAGUGGGGAAUAUUGCACAAUGGGCGAAAGCCUGAUGCAGCAACGCCGCGUGAGUGAUGAAGGCCUUCGGGUCGUAAAACUCUGUCCUCAAGGAAGAUAAUGACGGUACUUGAGGAGGAAGCCCCGGCUAACUACGUGCCAGCAGCCGCGGUAAUACGUAGGGGGCUAGCGUUAUCCGGAUUUACUGGGCGUAAAGGGUGCGUAGGUGGUCUCUUAAGUCAGGAGGAAAGGCUACUGCUUAACCGUAGUAGCUCUUGAAACUGGGAGACUUGAUUGCAGGAGAGGAAAGUAUAUGUCUUAGUGUAGCAGUGCCAUGGGUGGAUAUUAAGAGGAGAAGCAGUAUGAAAUG